UAGAAAUAAGGCCAUGGCUACUAUUGUCUC
rnacentral:piRNA from 1 species